ACCGACUUACCCAAGGUCACACAAGCCAUAGAUCCAGAGUCAAAGUGAAGAUGAAGUUUGUCCAAUUAUUUGAUGACAGUAGGACUUGUCAGGAGAGUCAAUCCUGAUGAUUGAGUCCCCGAAAUGAUGAGAUGACCUGAAGGAUUGUGCGACGUCCCUAUUUGCUUUCACUGCCCCGACACUCGUUCUGCCCCAAUUGAAAAAUGACAGCAUUGUGAUGCAUAAAUUACUAGAGACUUACAAGGAAUAAAGAAAGUUCAGUUUCUUAUAGGUAUUCGCACCUGCCUCACCUGCACCUCUGUUACUCUCUGUGACAUGCUCCACCACCCUGGACAACACAAAUGUAUGUUUGAAAGAAUAAGGGUGUUUGUUAGUGGGUAGGCCUGAUUAUGGGAGGCAAUUCUAGUGUGUAAAAGAUGGGUUGGAGUAUGGGGCAGCAGUGAAGAAAAAUAAAUAAAACAGUUUAUUUUCAGUGGGACUGAUCCCUCUUGCUCAUGCAUUAGUGCUUGGCUACAGGAGAGUAGUAAUUUAUUGAUGCAGACGGCCAUGUAA